AGUCGAACGAUGAUGCCCAGCUUGCUGGGCUGAUUAGUGGCGAACGGGUGAGUAAUACGUGAGUAACCUGCCCUUGACUCUGGGAUAAGCCUGGGAAACUGGGUCUAAUACUGGAUACUACCUUUCAUCGCAUGGUGGGGGGUGGAAAGGGUUUUACUGGUUUUGGAUGGGCUCACGGCCUAUCAGCUUGUUGGUGGGGUAAUGGCUCACCAAGGCGACGACGGGUAGCCGGCCUGAGAGGGUGACCGGCCACACUGGGACUGAGACACGGCCCAGACUCCUACGGGAGGCAGCAGUGGGGAAUAUUGCACAAUGGGCGAAAGCCUGAUGCAGCGACGCCGCGUGAGGGAUGACGGCCUUCGGGUUGUAAACCUCUUUCAGUAGGGAAGAAGCGAAAGUGACGGUACCUGCAGAAGAAGCGCCGGCUAACUACGUGCCAGCAGCCGCGGUAAUACGUAGGGCGCAAGCGUUGUCCGGAAUUAUUGGGCGUAAAGAGCUCGUAGGCGGUUUGUCGCGUCUGCUGUGAAAGCCCGGGGCUCAACCCCGGGUCUGCAGUGGGUACGGGCAGACUAGAGUGCAGUAGGGGAGACUGGAAUUCCUGGUGUAGCGGUGAAAUGCGCAGAUAUCAGGAGGAACACCGAUGGCGAAGGCAGGUCUCUGGGCUGUUACUGACGCUGAGGAGCGAAAGCAUGGGGAGCGAACAGGAUUAGAUACCCUGGUAGUCCAUGCCGUAAACGUUGGGCACUAGGUGUGGGGGACAUUCCACGUUUUCCGCGCCGUAGCUAACGCAUUAAGUGCCCCGCCUGGGGAGUACGGCCGCAAGGCUAAAACUCAAAGGAAUUGACGGGGGCCCGCACAAGCGGCGGAGCAUGCGGAUUAAUUCGAUGCAACGCGAAGAACCUUACCAAGGCUUGACAUUCACCGGACCGCCUCAGAGAUGGGGUUUCCCUUCGGGGCUGGUGGACAGGUGGUGCAUGGUUGUCGUCAGCUCGUGUCGUGAGAUGUUGGGUUAAGUCCCGCAACGAGCGCAACCCUCGUUCUAUGUUGCCAGCACGUGAUGGUGGGGACUCAUAGGAGACUGCCGGGGUCAACUCGGAGGAAGGUGGGGAUGACGUCAAAUCAUCAUGCCCCUUAUGUCUUGGGCUUCACGCAUGCUACAAUGGCCGGUACAAAGGGUUGCGAUACUGUGAGGUGGAGCUAAUCCCAAAAAGCCGGUCUCAGUUCGGAUUGAGGUCUGCAACUCGACCUCAUGAAGUCGGAGUCGCUAGUAAUCGCAGAUCAGCAACGCUGCGGUGAAUACGUUCCCGGGCCUUGUACACACCGCCCGUCAAGUCACGAAAGUUGGUAACACCCGAAGCCGGUGGCCUAACCCCUUGUGGGAGGGAGCCGUCGAAGGUG
rnacentral:rRNA from 1 species